GGAGGGGUGUCCGAGCGGUUUAAGGAGCCAGUCUUGAAAACUGGUGACUCGAAAGAGCCGUGGGUUCGAAUCCCACCCCCUCCGCCA
rnacentral:tRNA from 1 species